CUCGGCGUCCCGCCACGCCCCUCUGCCACCCCAUCCCACCCCGGCUCCGUGCUUUUUCUGCUUCUAGUGAGUCUGCUGGACCUUGUCCCCCGCUAGCCCCGCUGGGCCUCAGGAACCCCGGCUUUUGUAAGAUACCCUUCACUGCCCGCUUCCUCCCGAGUCCCUUCCACCAGACCCGAGCCGAGCCCGAUUGGGCCGCGGGUCUCCUAGACCAGGGAAGGGGAGACAGCCAGCUGCCUGCAGGGCUGAGAACGAAAUGGAAACCUCGAGGAGGGCAGUUUCCUCCUUUGGCAGGGAGUUGAGAGAACUAACAGCGAGAUUCCCAGUCAGAGAAUUCUGGGACAAAAGCGAAAUCAAGAAUUCGUCAGGGUUAAAAGUACUCCCUUUUAAUUAACUGCCUUCUGCCUCUUCCCACCCCCAUAAAAAGAAACCAAAAUACUAAAAGUCCUGAUUUAAAAAACAAGCAAACGAGUCUACAAGGACUAACCGACAGGCCGGUCCAUCUCCACCCCGCCCUCUGCUGAGUACUGGGCAGCCGAGAGUGGAACCCAGGGACGCGUUCUCCUCCCUACAUCUGGAUGGAGGUGUGACUUCGGGAGCUCAGAAUUCCGUGAGAAGUCACGAGGCAUGUAAAAGCAAUCAAUGCCUAACGUGGUUCCCCAAGCAUGCCAAGGAAGGUGCUCUUUAGAAAGAAAGGGAAUCGAUGAAUGGCCACAUGACCAAGACCUCUUCCUUCCCUCCCCCUUCCCCAAGGAAAAGAAAGUAGCAGCAAAUGCAAAGGUCUAAAUGUAAUAAGCUGCCAACAUCAGAAGUCAGAAACUGCUGGAACUCUGGUCAAUGCCUGAAGCUUGUAAGAGAGUCAUGUUCCCUGCAGACAUUACCAAGCUCCAGGAAAGAGGGAGAGAAAAUGCCAUCUGGGAAAGACAAGAAUACAGCCCAGAGGUUAGCUGGGAAGGAUG
rnacentral:lncRNA from 1 species